rnacentral:rRNA from 1 species
CCUACGGGGGGCUGCAGUCGAGAAUCUUCGGCAAUGGGCGAAAGCCUGACCGAGCGAUGCCGCGUGUGGGAUGAAGGCCUUCGGGUUGUAAACCACUGUCGUAGGGGAGCGCGAUCCUAGGAGGAAGGACCGGCUAAGUUCGUGCCAGCAGCCGCGGUAAUACGAACGGUCCAAACGUUAUUCGGAAUCACUGGGCUUAAAGCGUCCGUAGGCGGCUCGGAAAGUAGGGUGUGAAAUCCCACGGCUCAACCGUGGAAUUGCGCUCUAAACUACCGAGCUAGAGGGAGAUAGAGGUGAGCGGAACUGAUGGUGGAGCGGUGAAAUGCGUUGAUAUCAUCAGGAACACCGGAGGCGAAGGCGGCUCACUGGGUCUUUCUGACGCUGAGGGACGAAAGCUAGGGGAGCGAACGGGAUUAGAUACCCUUGUAGUC